rnacentral:rRNA from 1 species
GGGUUGUGAGGUUAAGCGACUAAGCGUACACGGUGGAUGCCCUGGCAGUCAGAGGCGAUGAAGGGCGUGCUAAUCUGCGAUAAGCGCCGGUAAGGUGAUAUGAACCGUUAUAACCGGCGAUACCCGAAUGGGGAAACCCAGUGUGAUUCGUCACACUAUCAUUAACUGAAUCCAUAGGUUAAUGAGGCGAACCGGGGGAACUGAAACAUCUAAGUACCCCGAGGAAAAGAAAUCAACCGAGAUUCCCCCAGUAGCGGCGAGCGAACGGGGAGGAGCCCAGAGCCUGAAUCAGCAUGUGUGUUAGUGGAAGCGUCUGGAAAGGCGCGCGAUACAGGGUGACAGCCCCGUACACAAAAGCGCAUGUGCUGUGAGCUCGAUGAGUAGGGCGGGACACGUGGUAUCCUGUCUGAAUAUGGGGGGACCAUCCUCCAAGGCUAAAUACUCCUGACUGACCGAUAGUGAACCAGUACCGUGAGGGAAAGGCGAAAAGAACCCCGGCGAGGGGAGUGAAAAAGAACCUGAAACCGUGUACGUACAAGCAGUGGGAGCACCCUUCGGGGUGUGACUGCGUACCUUUUGUAUAAUGGGUCAGCGACUUAUAUUCUGUAGCAAGGUUAACCGUAUAGGGGAGCCGGAGGGAAACCGAGUCUUAAUUGGGCGUUAAGUUGCAGGGUAUAGACCCGAAACCCGGUGAUCUAGCCAUGGGCAGGUUGAAGGUUGGGUAACACUAACUGGAGGACCGAACCGACUAAUGUUGAAAAAUUAGCGGAUGACCUGUGGCUGGGGGUGAAAGGCCAAUCAAACCGGGAGAUAGCUGGUUCUCCCCGAAAGCUAUUUAGGUAGCGCCUCGUGAAUUCAUCUCCGGGGGUAGAGCACUGUUUCGGCUAGGGGGCCAUCCCGGCUUACCAACCCGAUGCAAACUGCGAAUACCGGAGAAUGUUAUCACGGGAGACACACGGCGGGUGCUAACGUCCGUCGUGAAGAGGGAAACAACCCAGACCGCCAGCUAAGGUCCCAAAGUCAUGGUUAAGUGGGAAACGAUGUGGGAAGGCCCAGACAGCCAGGAUGUUGGCUUAGAAGCAGCCAUCAUUUAAAGAAAGCGUAAUAGCUCACUGGUCGAGUCGGCCUGCGCGGAAGAUGUAACGGGGCUAAACCAUGCACCGAAGCUGCGGCAGCGACGCUGAUGCGUUGUUGGGUAGGGGAGCGUUCUGUAAGCCUGUGAAGGUGUGUCGUGAGGCAUGCUGGAGGUAUCAGAAGUGCGAAUGCUGACAUAAGUAACGAUAAAGCGGGUGAAAAGCCCGCUCGCCGGAAGACCAAGGGUUCCUGUCCAACGUUAAUCGGGGCAGGGUGAGUCGACCCCUAAGGCGAGGCCGAAAGGCGUAGUCGAUGGGAAACGGGUUAAUAUUCCCGUACUUGGUGUUACUGCGAAGGGGGGACGGAGAAGGCUAUGUUGGCCGGGCGACGGUUGUCCCGGUUUAAGCGUGUAGGUGUGUGUUCCAGGUAAAUCCGGUUCACUUUAACACUGAGGCGUGACGACGAGGCACUACGGUGCUGAAGCAACAAAUGCCCUGCUUCCAGGAAAAGCCUCUAAGCAUCAGGUAACAUCAAAUCGUACCCCAAACCGACACAGGUGGUCAGGUAGAGAAUACCAAGGCGCUUGAGAGAACUCGGGUGAAGGAACUAGGCAAAAUGGUGCCGUAACUUCGGGAGAAGGCACGCUGACACGUAGGUGAAGUGAUUUACUCAUGGAGCUGAAGUCAGUCGAAGAUACCAGCUGGCUGCAACUGUUUAUUAAAAACACAGCACUGUGCAAACACGAAAGUGGACGUAUACGGUGUGACGCCUGCCCGGUGCCGGAAGGUUAAUUGAUGGGGUCAGCGCAAGCGAAGCUCCUGAUCGAAGCCCCGGUAAACGGCGGCCGUAACUAUAACGGUCCUAAGGUAGCGAAAUUCCUUGUCGGGUAAGUUCCGACCUGCACGAAUGGCGUAAUGAUGGCCAGGCUGUCUCCACCCGAGACUCAGUGAAAUUGAACUCGCUGUGAAGAUGCAGUGUACCCGCGGCAAGACGGAAAGACCCCGUGAACCUUUACUAUAGCUUGACACUGAACAUUGAGCCUUGAUGUGUAGGAUAGGUGGGAGGCUUUGAAGUGUGGACGCCAGUCUGCAUGGAGCCGACCUUGAAAUACCACCCUUUAAUGUUUGAUGUUCUAACGUGGACCCGUAAUCCGGGUUGCGGACAGUGUCUGGUGGGUAGUUUGACUGGGGCGGUCUCCUCCUAAAGAGUAACGGAGGAGCACGAAGGUUGGCUAAUCCUGGUCGGACAUCAGGAGGUUAGUGCAAUGGCAUAAGCCAGCUUGACUGCGAGCGUGACGGCGCGAGCAGGUGCGAAAGCAGGUCAUAGUGAUCCGGUGGUUCUGAAUGGAAGGGCCAUCGCUCAACGGAUAAAAGGUACUCCGGGGAUAACAGGCUGAUACCGCCCAAGAGUUCAUAUCGACGGCGGUGUUUGGCACCUCGAUGUCGGCUCAUCACAUCCUGGGGCUGAAGUAGGUCCCAAGGGUAUGGCUGUUCGCCAUUUAAAGUGGUACGCGAGCUGGGUUUAGAACGUCGUGAGACAGUUCGGUCCCUAUCUGCCGUGGGCGCUGGAGAACUGAGGGGGGCUGCUCCUAGUACGAGAGGACCGGAGUGGACGCAUCACUGGUGUUCGGGUUGUCAUGCCAAUGGCACUGCCCGGUAGCUAAAUGCGGAAGAGAUAAGUGCUGAAAGCAUCUAAGCACGAAACUUGCCCCGAGAUGAGUUCUCCCUGAGACUUAGAGUCUCCUGAAGGAACGUUGAAGACGACGACGUUGAUAGGCCGGGUGUGUAAGCGCAGCGAUGCGUUGAGCUAACCGGUACUAAUGAACCGUGAGGCUUAACCUUACAACGCCGAAG